rnacentral:rRNA from 1 species
AAACUUUCAACAACGGAUCUCUUGGCUCUAGCAUCGAUGAAGAACGCAGCGAAAUGCGAUACGUAAUGUGAAUUGCAGAAUUCACUGAAUCAUCGAAUCUUUGAACGCACAUUGCGCCUGGCAGUAUUCUGCCAGGCAUGCCUGUCC